CACCUGAUUUCCAUGCCGAACUCAGAAGUGAAACGAAAUAGCGCCGAUGGUAGUGUGGGGCUUCCCCAUGUGAGAGUAGGACAUCGCCAGGC
rnacentral:rRNA from 2 species